rnacentral:rRNA from 1 species
GUAGUCAUAUGCUUGUCUCAAAGAUUAAGCCAUGCAUGUCUAAGUAUAAGCAAUUAUACCGUGAAACUGCGAAUGGCUCAUUAAAUCAGUUAUCGUUUAUUUGAUAGUACCUUACUACUUGGAUAACCGUGGUAAUUCUAGAGCUAAUACAUGCUGAAAACCCCAACUUCGGGAGGGGUGUAUUUAUUAGAUAAAAAACCAACGCCCUUCGGGGCUUCUUGGUGAUUCAUGAUAACUUCACGGAUCGCAUGGCCUUGCGCCGGCGACGGUUCAUUCAAAUUUCUGCCCUAUCAACUUUCGAUGGUGAGGUAUUGGCUUACCAUGGUUUCAACGGGUAACGGGGAAU